GUCGCGAAGUGAAGCAGUGAUUAUUUUGGAGUUAACGAGCCAGGGGGUGAUCGGUGUUCGGUAGGUUGCAUUAACCGAAUGAAGGAAAAACACUUUAGGUUCGGGGAAACUUGAACUAGGGGGAACUGUUCUUAGAAGCAGAGAUAUAGUGAGUUUGUCACAGUUAUGUUUUUGCAAAUAUUUAUUUUACUCUGAUAAAACCACCUCUUCAGGCAGAGAUUUCACAUCCUUAUUGUUUUUACUGUUAAGAACAAUUUCCUUUGCCUUAUACUAAAU